rnacentral:tRNA from 1 species
GGCGGCCGUCGCCACCGGGGCGGCCGCGGCCGUCCGGGGGCCGCGGUCCGGCCCGGGGGCCUGGCGUUCGACGUGCCGGGCCAUCG